rnacentral:sRNA from 1 species
GAGACAGCAAGGGCAGGGCAGCUACAGCCAGUCCUGCUCCUUGCUCCCUGAGGGGGUGAAGUGGGGCGUAGGCCAUGCCAGUGGUGCUGUGGAUUUAGAGCAGGGCCUACCUGGGAAGGGCUCUCGGUAUCUGGGGAUGUGGCAGGAGUUUGCAAAGGCCUGGGGCAAAGCUGUGUUCCAGCGUGUGAGCUCGGUGUGUCGGUGUCCAUGUAGAGUGCACGGCGUGUGGGAGGAGUGGGGGUCCUGGAGCCUGUGCUCCCGCAGCUGCGGGCGGGGGUCCCGGAGCCGGAUGCGGACCUGCGUGCCCCCCCAGCAUGGCGGCAAGGCCUGCGAGGGUCCUGAGCUGCAGACUAAGCUCUGCAGUAUGGCUGCCUGCCCGGUGGAAGGCCAGUGGCUAGAAUGGGGUCCCUGGGGCCCAUGCUCCACGUCCUGUGCCAAUGGGACCCAGCAGCGCAGCCGGAAGUGCAGCGUGGCGGGCCCAGCCUGGGCC